rfam:Ochrobactrum anthropi ATCC 49188 chromosome 1, complete sequence.
GGGAGUGGGCCUCCCGAAGCCGACCUGCAGGGGCCGACUUCAAACCACUCCAUGCUGCUUCGUUUCAAGAGACGUGGUGAUGAGCGAUGGAGAAAUGGCGGUGCGCGACGCCUAUAGGU